AGACCAACUUGGUAUGUUAUUGGUAUGAGCUUUCGUGUGCAUGCACGCUUCUUCAAAUACAAAGAAGAUUGGUAUCUGAAGAAGUGUGCAUCACAUAAAAGCUCAUACCAAUAACAAACUUAGUUGG
rnacentral:miRNA from 1 species